CAGAUUUUCAGUCCUCCGUGGCUGAACCACCACUUAGCUUUUUAGGAAGGAGAGACACAAGGCUCAGCCAGAGGAAUUUGGAUCAUCUCACUACAAUCGUGUGUGAAGGCAGAGGGCACAGACAAAAGAGAAGAGAUGGGGCCGUCAAGGCAGGACCAGGGGAUCCAGAUGGCACAUCUUGUGGCAUGAUGCUCAUUCACGUCCAGCAGUGC
rnacentral:lncRNA from 1 species